rnacentral:tRNA from 1 species
GCCGGGGUGGCCCAGCCAGGUACGGCGGCGGCUUGCUAAGCCGUUAGCGCAUACGCGCUGCGUGGGUUCAAAUCCCACCCCCGGCGCCA